AGUAACUCCGUGUUUUGAGACUUUCUCAGUUUUUGCAUCGCAUGUGAGGGUUUGUUGGGUGCUCCUAAACCCUCAUCAUGGUCAUUCUUCUUGGCUGGGCUGUUGAUUUAAUUAGGUUUGCCUUCUCUUGCUAACGUGCUCUUAUUUAUGCCAGUGUUUGUGGUUCUGGGUGUAGACUUUCAGGAAGCACAGCCAUGAAGCUGCAUGCGUCUGUGUGUGGAUGCCUCAUGCCUUUUCCUGGUGGUUUGCAGGCAUGGAAGAUUCUUCUGUUCAUCUAAGCUCCUGACUUUAGGCCCUUCUAGAACAUUAGAGAGGAGAAGAAAUCACGUGCAAGGAUUUAGGGACAAGAGGAUGAGGUUUUGGUGUUUCCUUUCUGGUAUUAGGUUUUCCAGAGAGAGGCUGUUAGCCUGUCUCUCGCCCACUCCACCACUGUGAAUCCUGGCUACUGGGGCUAGUUCCUUGCUAGGAAAAAAAAACUCUAGAGAAAUGUGUUUGUGUGUGGUGGGUGGGCGGGGGCCCUGAGGAUGCAGGGACUGUGUCUGCUGUGUUGUCUGUUAUAAGAUGUUUCAGACCUAUUUUGCAUACUGGCAGCGACAAGUUGAGACUUGUUCAACUUGACACAGUCCUGUGGUCAUAGCGAAUCUUUCUAAAGCUCUGAUCAGUCAAGAAGGGGGUUGUAUCAAUCCUCAGAACCCUGAGUGGAACUUUCUACAGGAUUUAUUAGGAGAAAAACCUUCCCGGAAGCUGCAGAAGGACAAAUACAGAAUCCGUGUCUGGGAGAAACCUCGUGGCCUGGUCUCCAUUAUUUGAGAUGAGUUACAUCUUGGAGGUGAGGACGUGCCUCGUGGUCUAAAGCUUCGGCACAAGGGCCCAACUGGAAUUCCACUUACGGGCCUGAUCUUUUGGCCAGAAGGAGAUUAAAAAGAUGCCCCUCAAGAUGGCUGUGCCUGUCAGCUGCAUGGAGCUUCGUUCAAGUAUUUUCUGAGCCUGAUGGAUUUACAGUGAUCUUCAGUGGUCUGGGGAAUAACGCUGGUGGAACCAUGCACUGGAAUGACACACGCCCGGCACAUUUCAGGAUACUAAAAGUGGUUUUAAGGGAGGCUGUGGCUGAAUGCCUCAUGGAUUCUUACAGCUUGGAUGUCCAUGGGGGACGAAGGACUGCAGCUGGCUGAGAGGGUUGAGAUCUCUGUUUACUUAGAUCUCUGCCAACUUCCUUUGGGUCUCCCUAUGGAAUGUAAGACCCCGACUCUUCCUGGUGAAGCAUCUGAUGCACGUUCCAUCCGGCGCUCAGCUGGGCUUGAGGACUUCGCAGGUGAGCAGUAACGGAAAUCAGCCCCGUUUAUUCCUCCCAGCACCUGCCUUAUCCAACUCCCCACGCUGUGGCUGAGUCCCAGCCUGCUAUGGAAGCAUCACUGGACUCCCAUUGAACUCUGUGCAGAUUCGCUGUUCGUAGACAUGGUACCUGAUGGACACCAAGCUACGUACAGCUUCAAGGCCCCUUCUUUCUUUGCUAAUAAAAAAUAAAAAAUAAAAACAUAAUACACGU
ensembl:lncRNA PVT1 Pvt1 oncogene